rnacentral:rRNA from 1 species
GGGAUAUUGCGCAAUGGGGGCAACCCUGACGCAGCAACGCCGCGUGAAGGAUGAAGGUUUUCGGAUUGUAAACUUCUUUUGUUAGGGACGAAAAUUGACGGUACCUAACGAAUAAGCUCCGGCUAACUACGUGCCAGCAGCCGCGGUAAUACGUAGGGAGCAAGCGUUGUCCGGAUUUACUGGGUGUAAAGGGUGCGUAGGCGGCCGAGUAAGUCAGAUGUGAAAUCUAUGGGCUCAACCCAUAAACUGCAUUUGAAACUACUUGGCUUGAGUGAAGUAGAGGCAGGCGGAAUUCCCUGUGUAGCGGUGAAAUGCGUAGAGAUAGGGAGGAACACCAGUGGCGAAGGCGGCCUGCUGGGCUUUAACUGACGCUGAGGCACGAAAGCGUGGGUAGCAAACA